AGUGACUGUUAACUGUUUGUAACAGUGGAUGGAGAUAUGUUGUCAGAGUAACUAAAAUAUCGUCAAACUCAGAUAGAAUUUCUGGUUGCAGCAGCAGCGCGAGCGGGAGCUCGGAGCAGGGGCCUGUCGGGAAGCCGAGCUGUUUGGAUAAGGGAUCUCACAUAAACUUUACAUUUGAUGGCAUCGGUACCAAACCGGACUGGGAAGUAAGAACAGAAAAUCUACUGGAGGAAAUCAACAUAAGCAGCAUUGAAGCCCAGAACACAGAUGGCCACGGAGUGCCCCUGAUGACUUGUGACUGAAAUGGAAACGGAGACUGUGUGUCAUCUGCUGUCGCUACCUUUGGUGUGUUUCUCAAAUCCUCUCUUCAGUC